rnacentral:rRNA from 1 species
GAUGAACGCUAGCUACAGGCUUAACACAUGCCAGUCGAGGGGAAACGACAUCGAAAGCUUGCUUUUGAUGGGCGUCGACCGGCGAACGGGUGAGUAACGCGUAUCGAACCUGCCCACAACUUGGGGAUAAACUUGCGAAAGUAAGACUAAUACCCACUGAUAUCACUAGAAGACCUCUGAAAGAGAUUCAAGAUUUACCGGUGAUGGAUGGGGAUGCGUCUGAUUAGCUUGUUGGCGGGGAAACGGCCCACCAAGGCUACGAUCAGAAGGGGUUCUGGGAGGAAGGUCCCCCACCUUGAAACGGAGACACGGUCCAAACUCCUACGUGAUGCAGCAGUGAGGGAGAUGGGUCAAUGGACGGGAGUCUGAACCUGCCAAGUAGCGUGCAGGAUGACGGCCCUAUGGGUUGUAAACUGCUUUUAUAAGGGAAUAAAGUGAGUCUCGUGAGACUUUUUGCAUGUACCUUAUGAAUAAGGACCGGCUAAUUCCGUGCCAGCAGCCGCAGUAA